rnacentral:rRNA from 1 species
CACGAAGGGGGCUAGCGUUGCUCGGAAUCACUGGGCGUAAAGCGCACGUAGGCGGAUCUUUAAGUCAGGGGUGAAAUCCUGGAGCUCAACUCCAGAACUGCCUUUGAUACUGGGGAUCUCGAGUCCGGAAGGGGUGAGUGGAACUCCGAGUGUAGAGGUGAAAUUCGUAGAUAUUCGGAAGAACACCAGUGGCGAAGGCGGCUCACUGGUCCGGUACUGACGCUGAGGUGCGAAAGCGUGGGGAGCAAACAGG